UACGGAGGGUGCGAGCGUUAUCCGGAUUCACUGGGUUUAAAGGGUGCGUAGGUGGGUUUGUAAGUCAGUGGUGAAAUCUCCGGGCUUAACCCGGAAACUGCCAUUGAUACUAUAGGUCUUGAAUUAUCUGGAGGUCAGCGGAAUAUGUCAUGUAGCGGUGAAAUGCUUAGAUAUGACAUAGAACACCAAUUGCGAAGGCAGCUGGCUACAGGUUGAUUGACACUGAGGCACGAAAGCGUGGGGAUCAAACAGG
rnacentral:misc_RNA from 1 species